GACGAACGCUGGCGGCGUGCUUAACACAUGCAAGUCGAACGGAAAGGCCCCCACCUUGGUGGGGGUGCUCGAGUGGCGAACGGGUGAGUAACACGUGGGUGAUCUGCCCUGUACUUCGGGAUAAGCUUGGGAAACUGGGUCUAAUACCGGAUAGGACCAUGGCUUAGUGUCUCAUGGUGGAAAGAUUAUUGUUUUGGUGCAGGAUGAGCUCGCGGCCUAUCAGCUUGUUGGUGGGGUAAUGGCCUACCAAGGCGUCGACGGGUAGCCGGCCUGAGAGGGUGGACGGCCACAUUGGGACUGAGAUACGGCCCAGACUCCUACGGGAGGCAGCAGUGGGGAAUAUUGCACAAUGGGCGCAAGCCUGAUGCAGCGACGCCGCGUGGGGGAUGACGGCCUUCGGGUUGUAAACUCCUUUCGUUAGGGACGAAGCCACAUUUUUUUGGGUGUGGUGACGGUACCUUUGUUAAGAAGCACCGGCUAACUACGUGCCAGCAGCCGCGGUAAUACGUAGGGUGCGAGCGUUGUCCGGAAUUACUGGGCGUAAAGAGCUCGUAGGUGGUUUGUUGCGUCGUCUGUGAAAUUCCGGGGCUUAACUUCGGGGUGGCAGGCGAUACGGGCAUAACUAGAGUGCUGUAGGGGAGACUGGAAUUCCUGGUGUAGCGGUGGAAUGCGCAGAUAUCAGGAGGAACACCGAUGGCGAAGGCAGGUCUCUGGGCAGUAACUGACGCUGAGGAGCGAAAGCAUGGGGAGCGAACAGGAUUAGAUACCCUGGUAGUCCAUGCUGUAAACGGUGGGCGUUAGGUGUGGGGACCGGUUUGGUUUCUGUGCCGUAGCUAACGCAUUAAGCGCCCCGCCUGGGGAGUACGGCCGCAAGGCUAAAACUCAAAGGAAUUGACGGGGGCCCGCACAAGCGGCGGAGCAUGUGGAUUAAUUCGAUGCAACGCGAAGAACCUUACCUGGGUUUGACAUGCACCAGACGGUUGUAGAGAUACGUACCUCCCUUUGUGGUUGGUGUGCAGGUGGUGCAUGGUUGUCGUCAGCUCGUGUCGUGAGAUGUUGGGUUAAGUCCCGCAACGAGCGCAACCCUUGUCUUAUGUUGCCAGCACGUUUGGGUGGGGACUCAUGAGAGACUGCCGGGGUUAACUCGGAGGAAGGUGGGGAUGACGUCAAAUCAUCAUGCCCUUUAUGCCCAGGGCUUCACACAUGCUACAAUGGUUAGUACAACGCGCUGCGAACCUGUGAGGGUGAGCGAAUCGCUGAAAGCUAAUCUCAGUUCGGAUUGGGGUCUGCAACUCGACCCCAUGAAGUCGGAGUCGCUAGUAAUCGCAGAUCAGCAAUGCUGCGGUGAAUACGUUCCCGGGCCU
rnacentral:rRNA from 1 species